rnacentral:rRNA from 1 species
UCCAUUUAAGGGUUUAGUGGCGCAGCUUACGCGAUUAGUCGACCUCCUGGGGAGUACGACCGCAAGGUUGAAACUCAAAGGAAUUGACGGGGCACCGCACAAGCGGUGGAGCAGGUGGUUUAAUUCGAUGCAACGCGAAGAACAAGUACCAGCCCUUGACAUCAAUGGAACUGUCAGAGAUGACAGGGCACUUCGGGAGCCAAGUGACAGGUGCUGCAUGGCUGUCGUCAGCUCGUGUCGUGAGAUGUUGGNUUAAGUCCCGUAACGAGCGCAACCAUUGUCACUUAGUUGCCAGCGGUUCGGCCGGGAACUCUAAGGAGACUGCCGGUGAUAAACCGGAGGAAGGUGGGGAUGACGUCAAGUCAUCAUGGCCAUUAUGGGCUGGGCUACACACGUGCUACAAUGGUCGGUACAGAGGGUCGCGAAGCCGCGAGGUGGAGCCAAUCCCAGAAAGCCGAUCGUAGUCCGGAUUGCAGUCUGCAACUCGACUGCAUGAAGUCGGAAUCGCUAGUAAUCGCGAAUCAGCAUGUCACGGUGAAUACGUUCCCGGGCAUUGUACACACCGCCCGUCACACCAUGGGAGUUGGUGCACCAGAAGUAGAU